rnacentral:rRNA from 1 species
UACGUAGGUGGCAAGCGUUGUCCGGAAUUAUUGGGGCGUAAAGCGUGCGCAGGCGGCCUCUUAAGUCUGAUGUGAAAGCCCCCGGCUCAACCGGGGAGGGCCAUUGGAAACUGGGAGGCUUGAGUAUAGGAGAGAAGAGUGGAAUUCCACGUGUAGCGGUGAAAUGCGUAGAGAUGUGGAGGAACACCAGUGGCGAAGGCGACUCUUUGGCCUAUAACUGACGCUGAGGCGCGAAAGCGUGGGGAGCAAACAGG